GCUCCUGUAGCUCAGUUGGUCAGAGCGUGAUGCUAAUACACCAAUUCUGGUGGAAGGCACGUCAAGGUCCUCGGUUCGAGCCCGGGUGGGAGCA